UAUUAUAAUUGAUGUUGAAUUAUUACUUGAGUAGUAGUAGAUGAUCUUGAAACUCAAAGAAUUUGGCGGUGUUAUAGUCCUUUCAGGGGAACUUGUUAUUUAAUUGAUAAUACACAAUUUGUUUUACUUGAUUAAUUUAUUAGUUUGUAUACCGUCGUCAUAAGAUUAUUUUUAUUUUAAGAAUUAAAUUUUCGUAUAUUUUUAAUAAAAGAUAUGUCAGGUCAAGGUGCAGCUUAUAAUUAAGAUAUUAAUGAGUUACAAUAAUUUUAAUUUAUUACGGAUAAUUAUUGUAAGAUUAAUUUGAAGGUGGAUUUGAUUGUAAAUUUAUUUUUAAUUUUUAUAUUGAUUUUGGCUCUAAAAUGUGUACAUAUCGCCCGUCACUCUCAUAUUAUAUAUAUAUAAAUAUAUG
rnacentral:rRNA from 1 species